CCUACGGGAGGCAGCAGUGAGGAAUAUUGGUCAAUGGCCGGAAGGCUGAACCAGCCAUGCCGCGUGAAGGUCAGUGCUCUAUGGGCGUUAAACUUCUUUUGUGCGGGAGCAAUAAUGGUCACGUGUGGCCAGACGAGAGUACCGUACGAAUAAGCAUCGGCUAACACCGUGCCAGCAGCCGCGGUAAUACGGGGGAUGCAAGCGUUAUCCGGAGUUAUUGGGUUUAAAGGGUGCGUAGGGUGGGAGGUAAGUCAGCGGUGAAAUGCCCCCGCUCAACGGGGUGAAGUGCCAUUGAUACUGCCUUGCUGGAAUGCGGAUGCCGUGGGAGGAAUGUGUGGUGUAGCGGUGACAUGCAUAGAUAUCACACAGAACACCGAUUGCGAAGGCAUCUCACGAAUCCGCGAUUGACGCUGAUGCACGAAAGCGUGGGUAUCAAACAGGAUUAGAUACCCGGGUAGUC
rnacentral:rRNA from 1 species